rnacentral:rRNA from 1 species
UCAUCUUCGGGGGUAGAGCACUGUUUCGGCUAGGGGGUCAUCCCGACUUACCAACCCGAUGCAAACUACGAAUACCGAAGAAUGUUAUCACGGGAGACACACGGCGGGUGCUAACGUCCGUCGUGAAGAGGGAAACAACCCAGACCGCCAGCUAAGGUCCCAAAGUCAUGGUUAAGUGGGAAACGAUGUGGGAAGGCCCAGACAGCCAGGAUGUUGGCUUAGAAGCAGCCAUCAUUUAAAGAAAGCGUAAUAGCUCACUGGUCGAGUCGGCCUGCGCGGAAGAUGUAACGGGGCUAAACCAUGCACCGAAGCUGCGGCAGCGACACUAUGUGUUGUUGGGUAGGGGAGCGUUCUGUAAGCCGUUGAAGGUGGCCUGUGAGGGUUGCUGGAGGUAUCAGAAGUGCGAAUGCUGACAUAAGUAACGAUAAUGCGGGUGAAAAACCCGCACGCCGGAAGACCAAGGGUUCCUGUCCAACGUUAAUCGGGGCAGGGUGAGUCGACCCCUAAGGCGAGGCCGAAAGGCGUAGUCGAUGGGAAACAGGUUAAUAUUCCUGUACUUGGUGUUACUGCGAAGGGGGGACGGAGAAGGCUAUGUUGGCCGGGCGACGGUUGUCCCGGUUUAAGCAUGUAGGCGGAUGUUCCAGGUAAAUCCGGAACGUCACUAACGCUGAGGUGUGAUGACGAGGCACUACGGUGCUGAAGUGACAAAUGCCCUGCUUCCAGGAAAAGCCUCUAAGCAUCAGGUAACAUCAAAUCGUACCCCAAACCGACACAGGUGGUCAGGUAGAGAAUACCAAGGCGCUUGAGAGAACUCGGGUGAAGGAACUAGGCAAAAUGGUGCCGUAACUUCGGGAGAAGGCACGCUGAUGGUAGGUGAAGUGACUUGCUCAUGGAGCUGAAAUCAGUCGAAGAUACCAGCUGGCUGCAACUGUUUAUUAAAAACACAGCACUGUGCAAACACGAAAGUGGACGUAUACGGUGUGACGCCUGCCCGGUGCCGGAAGGUUAAUUGAUGGGGUUAUCCUC